rnacentral:rRNA from 1 species
GACGAACGCUGGCGGCGUGCUUAACACAUGCAAGUCGAACGGAAAGGCCCUGCUUGCCGGGUACUCGAGUGGCGAACGGGUGAGUAACACGUGGGUGAUCUGCCCUGCACUUCGGGAUAAGCCUGGGAAACUGGGUCUAAUACCGGAUAGGAGCCAUUUUUAGUGUGAUGGUUGGAAAGUUUUUUCGGUGUAGGAUGAGCUCGCAGCCUAUCAGCUUGUUGGUGGGGUAAUGGCCUACCAAGGCGGCGACGGGUAGCCGGCCUGAGUGGGUGGACGGCCACAUUGGGACUGAGAUACGGCCCAGACUCCUACGGGAGGCAGCAGUGGGGAAUAUUGCACAAGGGGCGCAAGCCUGAUGCAGCGACGCCGCGGGGGGGAUGACGGCCUUCGGGUUGUAAACUCCUUUCGCUAGGGACGAAGCUUUUUGUGACGGUACCUAGAGAAGAAGCACCGGCUAACUACGUG